UCUAGGUUCUUGUUAGGACAUGGCCAAAACAAUCUAUAAUUUAUAAUGAAUUGUUUAUUUAUUUGAAAGAAACGGUAAUGAUUAAUAGAAUUGAGUAAUUCUUUACCAUUACGCGCUCCACACUCCUUUCCAGUAGGUGGAGGGAAUGCAUCUUUUGAGUUGGUCUGCCAACCGCCGUUAAACUCCAGAAGAAGAAGAAGAACGGGGAGUAGUAGUUUUCAUCACAGCUCUGAGUCUUCUGAGGGUUUUGCAUGGCCCUAAAUAAGGUGGAGGUGGUAAAAUCCUCCUCAUGUGCACACACGCAAGGUACUGCAUUUCUACUGGCUGAAGAAAACUCAUUUUACAAGCACCUCCACCAAACACACAGGAGUUCAGCUCCUCCCACAAUAGUUUAUGAAAGAAAAUCAAAAACAUGACUGAUCCAGAACCCUGCGGAAUAAAACAGGAAGACACUGAACAACAAAUAGACCUGAAAGAAGAGAACAAGGAGAUUGAAGGACUGACUGAAGUGGAAGAGAAACAUCAUGUAAAAACUGAAGAAGCAUGCUGGAGUCCCUCAUUGAAAAGAAGAGACGAAAUAUGUUUCACUUGCACUCAGUGUGGAAAGAGUUUCUCAUGCAAGCAAAAUCUUGAUGUUCACAUAAAAUGUCAUCUUGAAGGGUUUUCAGAAGACCUGAAGGACCACCUGAAAGUUUAUACAAAGGAGAAGCCUUAUGUAUGGAAUUUAUGUGGAAAGAGUUUUAUUCAGAGGGGUACAUUAAAAAGACACCAGAAGAGACACAGCGGUGUGAAGAAUCAUGCUUGCUCAGAAUGUGGGAAGACUUUUUUUACAGAUGGAGCACUGAAAGUACACUUGAUAGUUCACACUACAGAAACACCUUACAAGUGUUCACACUGUGACAAAAGAUUCAAACGGUC